rnacentral:tRNA from 1 species
ACCCCAUUCUUUUUCAGACAUCUUGUCGAAGUUUUAGUUAAAAUUCUAUAACGCUGGCCUGUCAGACCAGAAUGGUAAGUGAAAAUCUUGCAAACUUCG